rnacentral:rRNA from 1 species
AUUGAACGCUGGCGGCAUGCCUUACACAUGCAAGUCGAACGGCAGCACGGGGCAACCUGGUGGCGAGUGGCGAACGGGUGAGUAAUGCAUCGGAACGUGCCAUUGAGUGGGGGAUAACGUAGCGAAAGUUGCGCUAAUACCGCAUAUUCUGUGAGCAGGAAAGCAGGGGACCGCAAGGCCUUGCGCUCUUUGAGCGGCCGAUGUCAGAUUAGCUAGUUGGUGAGGUAACGGCUUACCAAGGCGACGAUCUGUAGCGGGUCUGAGAGGAUGAUCCGCCACACUGGAACUGAGACACGGUCCAGACUCCUACGGGAGGCAGCAGUGGGGAAUUUUGGACAAUGGCGCAAGCCUGAUCCAGCCAUGCCGCGUGAGUGAAGAAGGCCUCGGUGUAAGUA